rnacentral:rRNA from 1 species
AUGAAUCACUUUCUGAGAGGUAUUUGGGCUUACCUUGGGUUGUUGGUAAAUCAAAAAAACAACGCCUUCAGGUACAUCAAGGAUAGGUUGUGGGGUAAAGUCCGGGGCUGGAUCGAGAGGUGUAUGGCUUCAGCUGGGAAGGAAAUCUUAAUUAAGUCAGUAGCUCAAGCUGUGCCCAACUUUUCAAUGUCUUGUUUCCUCUUACCGAGGGGUUUAUGCCAAUACAUUGACACUAUGUUGAGGAAAUUUUUCUGGGCAGCAAGGAAGGCGAAAGGAAGGUGGCAUGGGUGUCUUGGGACGUUCUGA